GAUGAACGCUGGCGGCGUGCCUAAUACAUGCAAGUCGAGCGAACGGACGAGAAGCUUGCUUCUCUGAUGUUAGCGGCGGACGGGUGAGUAACACGUGGAUAACCUACCUAUAAGACUGGGAUAACUUCGGGAAACCGGAGCUAAUACCGGAUGAUAUUUUGAACCGCAUGGUUCAAAAGUGAAAGACGGUCUUGCUGUCACUUAUAGAUGGAUCCGCGCUGCAUUAGCUAGUUGGUAAGGUAACGGCUUACCAAGGCAACGAUGCAUAGCCGACCUGAGAGGGUGAUCGGCCACACUGGAACUGAGACACGGUCCAGACUCCUACGGGAGGCAGCAGUAGGGAAUCUUCCGCAAUGGACGAAAGCCUGACGGAGCAACGCCGCGUGAGUGAUGAAGGUCUUCGGAUCGUAAAACUCUGUUAUUAGGGAAGAACAUAUGUGUAAGUAACUGUGCACAUCUUGACGGUACCUAAUCAGAAAGCCACGGCUAACUACGUG
rnacentral:rRNA from 1 species